NNNNNNNNNNNNNNNNNNNNNNNNNNNNNNNNNNNNNNCGGUGCUGCUGGCGGCGGGGCUGGUUGGCCGCCGGGGUCCGGGGGGCGGCUGCGCCGGCUCAGCGCAGGCGGCCCGAGCCCCGUGCCCGCUCCCGCGGCGCCCCGCGGAGCCGCAUCCCGCGGAGCCCGGCUGCAGCGCAGCCCCGGCGCCCCGGCGGGCUCGGUGCGCGCCCUCCUCGGGGCGGUGCGCGGCGGGGAAACCGAGCCGCGGGUCCGGGGACGAGGUGGAGGGAGGAGCGAAGCAUCUACGGGAGCAGCCCCGCUGCCCGGUGGGCGAUCCUCGGCCCCAUCCGGAGGCCGGAGGCACGGAGGGGUGGGGGCAGCCGCCUUGCAGGGCCGGUCACAGCGGGCAGCUCCUCCCUCCGGGUAUCCCGGGGCUCCGCUCCGAGGUCUGGGGCCCGGGAGUUGCUGUAAUUCCCGCGGCUGCGGUCAGCUGCAGCGGUGCGAGCUCGGGCAGGAGGGGAGAGGCGGCCAGGUCUCGGGCGUCCUCGGUCACGGCGCCAGUGCCGCCGGCCGGGGGCUGCCCGCCCGCUUUCCCCCGGCGGCGGGGCAUGCCCCUGGCUCACGGGGCGCCUCUGCCCGGAGGGGACUCGGGGCUCCCAUCCAUCGCAGACACUCGGCUUGCUUGGCAACAAGAAAAAAAAAAAAAGGAGGGGAAAAAAAAGAAAGAAAGGAGGAGGGAAAAAAAANNNNAAAAAAAAAAAAAAAAAAGAAUCGAAAGAGCGGGGAAUGAAAAUCCCGCCCUAAACUCAGAGCUCUGGGAAGCCAGAUGGGAGUAUCCCAACUUCUCCGCGGGCCAGGAGUGCUCCGGCUCAGAGGCUUCCCCGGCGGCAGGGAGAGGGAGGAGGAGGAGCAGGAGGAAGGGGCGAGGGCAAAGCGCAGGGAGCGCGGUGCCUGCGGGGCCGAGGGGAGCCGGCGGCGGACGCUGUCCCGGGAGCCGCGAGACGAGCACGGCGGAGCCGCCGCCGCCGCCGGAGUGGAGCUGCGGGCGG
rnacentral:lncRNA from 1 species